rnacentral:lncRNA from 1 species
GGCAACUUUAAAGUCUCAGUUAAACUCACAAUCUGUGGAGAUCACCAAACUACAGACAGAAAAGCAGGAACUGUUACAGAAAACAGAAGCGUUUGCAAAAUCAGUUGAGGUACAAGGAGAGACCGAGACUAUAAUAGCCACCAAAACUACUGAUGUAGAAGGAAGACUGUCAGCAUUAUUACAAGAGACCAAAGAGUUAAAGAAUGAAAUUAAAGCUCUGUCUGAGGAAAGAACUGCCAUUAAAGAGCAGCUGGAUUCAUCUAAUAGUACCAUUGCCAUUUUACAAACUGAGAAAGACAAACUAGAGUUGGAAAUUACAGAUUCUAAAAAAGAACAAGAUGAUCUCUUGGUCUAAACAUCUAAAACAAAUUUCAAGUUAACAGUUCAUACAACUCAGAUUUAGUAGUAUUGUUUAUCAUAAAACAUAUUAUGUUCCUAGUUUUAAAAAGACCCAAAGUAUGAUUAAUAUAAUUUAUUGGCAUUUUUGCUGAAUAGGUUUAAGUCAGAUAAUAGAUUUUAAAAAAGCAAAUGAGGCAAUGUGUCAAAAUUUAAUGUUUCAUAAUAAAAAUAGAUACGUUGACUU